GGGAUUGCCUCAGUAACGGCGAGUGAAGCGGCAACAGCUCAAAUUUGAAAGCUGGCUCCUUCGGGGCCCGCGUUGUAAUUUGUAGAGGACGCUUCGGGUGCGGCACCGGUCUAAGUUCUUUGGAACAAGACGUCAGAGAGGGUGAGAAUCCCGUACGUGACUGGCUGCCUGCGCCCAUGUGUAGCUCCUUCGACGAGUCGAGUUGUUUGGGAAUGCAGCUCAAAAUGGGAGGUGUACUCCUUCUAAAGCUAAAUAUUGGCCAGAGACCGAUAGCGCACAAGUAGAGUGAUCGAAAGAUGAAAAGCACUUUGGAAAGAGAGUUAAACAGUACGUGAAAUUGUUGAAAGGGAAGCGCUUGCAAUCAGACUUGCGCGGCGUCGAUCAGCCCGGGCUCGUCCCGGGUGCACUCGGCGCCGCUCAGGCCAGCAUCAGUUUCGGCGGUGGGAUAAAGGCCUGGGGAACGUGGGUCCCCUCGGGGACCGUUAUAGCCUCAGGUGCCAUGCCGCCUGCCGGGACUGAGGACCGCGCUUCGGCUAGGAUGCUGGCGUAAUGGUUGUAAGCGACCCGUCUUGAAACACGGACCAAGGAGUCUAACAUCUAUGCGAGUGUUUGGGUAUCACACCCAUGCGCGGAAUGAAAGUGAACGGAGGUGAGAACCCUUAAGGGUGCAUCAUCGACCGAUCCUGAUGUCUUCGGAUGGAUUUGAGUAAGAGCAUAGCUGUUGGGACCCGAAAGAUGGUGAACUAUGCCUAGAUAGGGUGAAGCCAGAGGAAACUCUGGUGGAGGCUCGCAGCGGUUCUGACGUGCAAAUCGAUCGACAAAUCUGGGUAUAGGGGCGAAAGACUAAUCGAACCAUCUAGUAGCUGGUUCACGCCGAAGUUUCCCUCAGGAUAGCAGUGUUGUAUUCAGUUUUAUGAGGUAAAGCGAAUGAUUAGAGGCCUUGGGGACGCAACGUCCUUAACCUAUUCUCAAACUUUAAAUAUGUAAGAAGUCCUUGUUGCUUAAUUGAACG
rnacentral:rRNA from 1 species